CGCGACCGCCUCCCCCACCCGAUCGCGUCACACUCAAGGUCCAAAGAUGGUGUGCGCACUUGUUUGUGGUCAAUUACCAUUAUAGUGAACGGGAGGCGCAGUUUCUACCAAAGCGCUCGCUGCAGAAAAACUCCAUGUCCUAUUUGAAAAAAGUCUGGACCAUGAGUGAGGGCACAAACACAGCUAAGAUAUAUCCAAAUGGCAAGUUGCUCCUCCUUUCGCUUUUGCCGAGAGAGCAGUGCGUUUGAGCCAUUGAAUGAUGAACAGGAAAAACUUGACUUUAUUCUCCUGCCAUGGGGGGGGCGCUCUUUUAACGAGAAAAAACUCCUUCACAAAUGUGUUGAUGGCUGGACAUUGCAUCAUCCUAGAAAACAUGGAGGCCAGUGAGGACAAAAAUAAAAAGUUAUAAGACUUUUAAAUAUGUGGAUUUUAGGGUUAUCUUUGGCGCCCCCUAGAACCUAAACCGUGGGGUGCAGCGUCAUGAUUUGAAUAACUUUUAAUGGCCAUGGGGUGUAGAUUGGCCUGAGCAAAUGUGGUGCCGGUGGAACGAAAGCCUUCGGAGGAGUUAGCGAAAUUCCAAUGUGUGCGAAUCUGCAAAAAAUGCGAAAUAACCCUUUAACCGUACAUUUUACAGAUACGUGGCCAUUGACUUUUUCGAAGAUCUUAUUGAAAUACACGUGUAUGUAAAAUUUUGUGUCAAUACGACAAAACAUACAGGCGUAGCACUCAACAAUGUGUAUUUUCACCUUAGUGGACAAGAAAAAAUGGACUUUUUUCUCCUGCCAUGGGGGGGCGCUCUUUUGGCGAGUAAAAAUUCCUUCACAAAUGUGUUGAUGGCUGGACAUUGCAUCAUCCUAGAAAACUUGGAGGCCAGUGAGGACAAAAAUAAAAAGUUAUAAGACUUUUAAAUAUGUGGAUCUUAGGGUUAUCUUUGGCGCCCCCUAGAACCUAAACCGUGGGGUGCAGCAUCAUGAUUUGAAUAACUUUUAAUGGCCAUGGGGUGUAGAUUGGCCUGAGCAAAUGUGGUGCCGGUGGAACGAAAGCCUUCGGAGGAGUUAGCGAAAUUCCAAUGUGUGCGGAUCGGCAAAAAAUGCGGAAUAACCCUUUAACCGUACAUUUGACAGAUACGCGCGCAUUGACUUUUUCGUAGAUCUUAUUGAGAUACAUGUGUGUGUCAAUUUUUGUGUCAUUUUGCCAAAGCGUACAGGUGUUACACUCAACAAUGUGUAUUUUCACCUUAGGGGACAAGAAAAAAUGGACUUUUUUCUCCUGCCAUGGGGGGCGCUCUUUUGGGGAGUAAAAAUUCCUUCACAAAUGUGUUGAUGGCUGGACAUUGCAUCAUCCUAGAAAACUUGGAGGCCAGUGAGGGCAAAAAUAAAAAGUUAUAAGACUUUUAAAUAUGUGGAUCUUAGGGUUAUCUUUGGCGCCCCCUAGAACCUAAACCGUGGGGUGCAGCGUCAUGAUUUGAAUAACUUUUAAUGGCCAUGGGGUGUAGAUUGGCCUGAGCAAAUGUGGUGCCGGUGGAACGAAAGCCUUCGGAGGAGUUAGCGAAAUUCCAAUGUGUGCGGAUCGGCAAAAAAUGCGAAAUAACCCUUUAACCGUACAUUUGACAGAUACGCCCGCACUGACUUUUUUGUAGAUCUUAUUGAGAUACAUGUGUGUGUCAAUUUUUGUGUCAUUUUGACAAAGCGUACAGGCGUGACAGUGAAUAGUGUGAAUUUUCACCUUAGGGGGCGCUAUGGAGCCAUUUUGCAUUUUCUUGUUUGGGCGACUUCGGAAUAUCAAAUUUUUCACCAGGCCCGGUCGUCCUGCCAAAUUUCAUGAGUUUUCGCCAGUGGGAAGUGGGCCAUUUUCCAGUUCAAAGGGGAGGAAAAAUAAUAAUAAUAACUAGGGCCCCGUUGGGGCACUGGCGGGCCCGAGCCGUGUCGCGCUGCCCCCCCCAACGCGCUGCCUCCCCGUCCCAUUUGCGUCCUCUGGCCAUCGUCCUCUCUGGUAACGCCCAUCACUGCAAAGACACUUUCCUUCAUCGGCGUUUGCUGUUCUUCCUGCCAGUGCGUGUUGCUUUCACUUACACUUGCCACAGCCAGCCUCGUGAGUGCCUAGCCUAUUGGAUAUCACUGUCAUCUACACAGGACAGUCAUAACCUUUCUAUUAAUACUUUGUUUUUUAAUUUCACAUUAAUUUCCAUAUUGUAUAAAUGACUGGAAAAAACUUGAGCCCCUGCCCCUGUAUAAUCAUGUGCACGUCCCUGUUCUAGCUCCAAGGUGAAUCUUCACUGCUCAUGUUCUCCUCAGAAAUAGUCACCUCACUCCCCUCAGGUUACUGUACACAUGCACCAACUAUCUGCUUCAGGUUUGGAUAGAGCUUCAUGGUUGUCUUUUGGGGAAAUGAACAGUCAAGUUGUGUUUGAAAUUUGAUUUUUUUCAGGGGCAAAAGGAAGCCUCUGCAUUCUUGUCAAAUAUGUAAACAGCAUGUUUUUGCAGGUGCUAAAAAACAGACUCUGAGUGUGUGUGUGUGUGUGUGUGUGUGUGUGUGUGUGUGUGUGUGUGUGUGUUGGCGUGUGUGUAUAUGUGUGUGUAUCCUGCAGUACUCUGUACUCCUGCAGUGGCCAAAAAGACUUUUAAGAAUGUGGAUUUUUGGGUCAUCUUUGGCGCCCCCUAGAACUGCAGUACUCUGUACUCCUGCAGUGGCCAAAAUGACUUUUAAGAAUGUGGAUUUUUGGGUCAUCUUUGGCGCCCCCUAGAACGUAAACCGUGGGGUGCAGCGUCAUGAUUUUUACAACUUUGAAUGGGCAUGGGGUGUAGAUUGCCCUGAGCAAAUUUGGUAUCAGUGGGACGAAAGCCUUAGGAGGAGAUAGCCACAUUCCAAUGUGUGCGAAUCGGCAAAAAAUGCGAAAUAGCCCUUUAACCGUACAUUAUACAGAUACGCGCUCUUUGACUUUUUCGUAGAUCUAAUUGAGAUACACAUGAUUGUCAAUUUUUGUGUCAAUAUGACAAAGCGUUCAGGCGUGACACUCAACAAUGUGUAUUUUCAUGUAAGGGGACAAGAAAAAAUUGACUUUUUUCUCCUGCCAUGGGGGGGCGCUCUUUUGGGGAGUAAAAAUUCCUUCACAAAUGUGUUGAUGGCUGGACAUUGCAUCAUCCUAGAAAACUUGGAGGGCAGUGAGGACAAAAAUAAAAAGUUAUAAGACUUUUAAAUAUGUGGAUUUUAGGGUUAUUUUUGGCGCCCCCUAGAACCUAAACCGUGGGGUGCAGCAUCAUGAUUUGAAUAACUUUUAAUGGCCAUGGGGUGUAGAUUGGCCUGAGCAAAUGUGGUGCCGGUGGAACGAAAGCCUUCGGAGGAGUUAGCGAAAUUGCAAUGUGUGCGGAUCGGCAAAAAAUGCGAAAUAACCCUUUAACCGUACAUUUGACAGAUACGCCCGCACUGACUUUUUUGUAGAUCUUAUUGAGAUACAUGUGUGUGUCAAUUUUUGUGUCAUUUUGACAAAGCGUACAGGCGUGACAGUCAAUAGUGUGAAUUUUCACCUUAGGGGGCGCUAUGGAGCCAUUUUGCAUUUUCUUGUUUGGGCGACUUCGGAAUAUCAAAUUUUUCACCAGGCCCGGUCGUCCUGCCAAAUUUCAUGAGUUUUCGCCAGUGGGAAGUGGGCCAUUUUCCAGUUCAAAGGGGAGGAAAAAUAAUAAUAAUAACAAACUAGGGCCCCGGUGGGGCACUGGCGGGCCCGAGCCGUGUCGCGCCGCCUCCAGCGCAACUGCCUACCCCUCCCGAUCGCGUCACACUCAAGGUCCAAAGAUGGUGUGCGCACUUGUCUGUGGUCAUUUACCAUUAUAAUGAAUGGGAGACGCAGUUUCUACCAAAACGCUCGCUGCAGAAAAACUCCAUGUCCUAUUUGAAAAAAGUCUGGACCAUGAGUGAGGGCACAAACACAGCUAAGAUAUAUCCGAAUGGCAAGUUGCUCCUCCUUUCGGUUUUGCCGAGAGAGCGAUGCGUUUGAGCCAUUGAGCGAUGGGCAGGAAAAACUUGACUUUUUCUCCUGCCAUGGGGGGGCGCUCUUUUGGGGAGUAAAAAUUCCUUCACAAAUGUGUUGAUGGCUGGACAUUGCAUCAUCCUAGAAAACUUGGAGGCCAGUGAGGACAAAAAUAAAAAGUUAUAAGACUUUUAAAUAUGUGGAUUUUAGGGUUAUCUUUGGCGCCCCCUAGAACCUAAACCGUGGGGUGCAGCGUCAUGAUUUUGAUAAAUUUUAAUGGCCAUGGGGUGUAGAUUGGCCUGAGCAAAUGUGGUGCCGGUGGAACGAAAGCCUUAGGAGGAGUUAGCCACAUUCCAAUGUGUGCGGAUCGGCAAAAAAUGCGGAAUAACCCUUUAACCGUACAUUUGACAGAUACGCGCGCAUUGACUUUUUCGUAGAUCUUAUUGAGUUACAUGUGUGUGUCAAUUUUUGUGUCAUUUUGACAAAGCGUAUAGGCGUGACACUCAACAAUGUGUAUUUUCACCUUAGGGGACAAGAAAAAAUUGACUUUUUUCUCCUGCCAUGGGGGGGCGCUCUUUUGGGGAGUAAAAAUUCCUUCACAAAUGUGUUGAUGGCUGGACAUUGCAUCAUCCUAGAAAACUUGGAGGCCAGUGAGGACAAAAAUAAAAAGUUAUAAGACUUUUAAAUAUGUGGAUUUUAGUGUUAUCUUUGGCGCCCCCUAGAACCUAAACCUUGGGGUGCAGCGUCAUGAUUUUGAUAACUUUUAAUGGCCACGGGGUGUAGAUUGGCCUGAGCAAAUGUGGUGCCGGUGGAACGAAAGCCUUCGGAGGAGUUAGCGAAAUUCCAAUGUGUGCGGAUCGGAAAAAAAUGCGAAAUAACCCUUUAACCGUACAUUU